CCCUGCAAUGUUAGACGCCGCUCCAUAAUGUAUCAGUUCGAAAUGUACGAUAAAGAAGCUCAAUCAGUUGAUCGUUUGAUUGGUUAUUUGACGAUAGGAAAGGAAAAAAGAGUUGAAUAAUUUUAUACGAUUUGGUCCAAUUUCAGGUUAAUCCCGAAGUCGAGAGAAAACUAUUUACCACCCCAUCGUCGUGAAAUUAUAGGUUUACAAAUACCACGGCGCAUCGCAGACGAAGCUCAGUCACGCCAAUCUCUGUCUAUCGAAAAUGAAAAAAAGGAGAAAAGGAAAAAACAAUCAUAUGAAUCCUCACGCUUGAAUAAUUCUGGUAAAAACAUCGAAGGACACGUUUUUAUCCUCAUCAUUCUGCACAAUUCUCGGGCAAGUCCUUUUCUCGCAUUAUCCUUCACAUCACAGGGGAAUGAAUUCGAGCGCGGAAACCUGCAGCAGCAGCAGUAAGGAGGAAAUGGAAAUCUGCCACAUUCCCCCCUCAUUAUUUUCCACAUACAUAUACUCGAACAAUAGUCAGAAUUAAAUCUGUCACGUGAACAGCGAGACAAUGAACCUGCGUGCGGAUUGAGAUAUGGAAAAAAGCACCCUCACGAUCCCUUCAACGGGCGGUAAUUUGACGUGACUGCAGCAUAUACGUUGCUAUGAUGUUCUCGAUUUUUUUUACUACUUUUUACCCCCUCGUUCAACAGAAACUUGCAAUUUUCUCCUUUUUCACAAAAUUUAAGAUCGUGCAGAACGUGCAGCGCAAAGUUAUAUGUUUCGAAAGGCUAUUGGUGAUAAAACAUGACUUUUUG
rnacentral:misc_RNA from 1 species